UACGAAGGGGGCUAGCGUUGCUCGGAAUCACUGGGCGUAAAGGGCGCGUAGGCGGCCGAUCAAGUCAGAGGUGAAAGCCCAAGGCUCAACCUUGGAACUGCCUUUGAUACUGUUUGGCUAGAGACCGGAAGAGGUAAGUGGAACUGCGAGUGUAGAGGUGAAAUUCGUAGAUAUUCGCAAGAACACCAGUGGCGAAGGCGGCUUACUGGUCCGGUUCUGACGCUGAGGCGCGAAAGCGUGGGGAGCAAACAGG
rnacentral:rRNA from 1 species